rnacentral:rRNA from 1 species
GCCGCGGUAUUCUGACCGUGCGAAGGUAGCAUAAUCAAUAGCCUUUUAAUUGAAGGCUUGAAUGAAGGGUUGGACGAGAAAUAGACUGUUUCUUAGAUAAGAAUUGAAUUUAACUUUUAAGUGAAAAGGCUUAAAUACUACAAGAAGACGAUAAGACCCUAUAAAUCUUCAUAUUAGUUUAAAUUUUUGAAAAGUUUAUAAGUCAAUUCGAUUAAAUUUAAAUAAUAUUUUAUUGGGGCGAUAUGAAUAGAUAAUUAUCUAUUUCAACUGUUUUACAAAAAAUAUUUGAAUGAAAUUUUUAGAUCCUUACUUAAAGAUUCGUAGAUUAAGUUACUUUAGGGAUAACAGCGUUAUUUUAUUUAAGAGUUCGUAUCAAAAAUAAAGUUUGCGACCUCGAUGUUGAAUUAAAAUUUCUUUGUGGUGCAGCAGCUAUAAAAGAAAGUCUGUUCGACUUUUAAAAUUUUACAUGAUUUGA